GCUUACGGCCAUACCACCCUGUGCAGGCCCGAACUCGUCUGAUCUCGGAAGCCAAACAGGGCUGGGCCUGGUUAGUACUUGGAUGGGAGACUUCCUGGGAAUACCAGGUGCUGUAAGCU